rnacentral:lncRNA from 1 species
AAGGCUGGGUGCAUGGUCUGCGCUCUGUGAUCCGGCGCUGGGAGGGUGGAGAGAGCGGUGGCAUCUUUCUGUCUUGCCUGUUGUACCUGAACUAGCAAACAGCACAGUUGAAAUAACCUCUGAGCGCAUUUAGAGGCGUCUCUCAGGUUCAGCAACUUGUUGCCCCUACUUCACAAAUUCUGCAUUGUUGGUUUAGCAAAUGAGAACCUGAAAAAUCGCCUGUAUGUUAAAUUUCUUCUUCUUUUUUUUUUUUUUUUUUUUUUUUUUUGAGACGUAGUCUCACCCUGUUGCCCAGGCUGGAGUGCAGUGGCGCGAUCUCGGCUCACCGCAACCUCUGCCUCCCAGGCUCAAGAGAGUCUCCUGCUUCAGCCUCCCAAGUAGCUGGUAUUACAGGCGCGUGCCACUACCACCCAGCUAAUUUUUGUAUUUUUAGUAGAGACUGGGUUUCACCAUGUCAGCAAGGCUGGUCUUGAACUCCUGACCUCAGGUGAUCCACCCACCUUGAGCUCCCAAAGUGCAGGGAUUACAGGCGUGAGCCACCGCGCCCGGCUAAAUUUCUGUGAAAAUAAAUUAUUUUCCCUACCAUGUCCAAGCAACCCUAUUUUUUUUCCUAGUUUGCAGGUGUCUGUGGUUGAUGUUUACUAUCACUUAUUUUCCCUAAAGACUCAACACACAAAAAAGAGGGGAGUCUGUUUAAAGAAAUUCUGCAGUGAAUCAUCCUGAAAACGUAAAAACUUGUUUUGAUAAGUUUUAUACUUUAAUUUUCUAACUUUUGUAAUGAAGUGUCUUUAAAAUGCAGCACACUUGAAAUCCUUUUUUAAAGUGCAGAGUUAAGUGGUAUCCUAAUUUUUGAAUAGGACGCAGAGAAGUUUAAAGAGGUUUAAGAUCUACUCUUUGCUUCUUGCUAACGAUGCAAAACGAUGGUUCUUAGAGGGCACGAGGGAUAGCUACCUUCUAGAAUAGUGCUAUUGGUCUGCACGACUGUAGUGGGUUUCUUGAACGGUGUAGUUUAGACCGUGAUUUCUUACAGCCGCUAAUGAACAUCCUCCACAUGCUAACGAUGAACUCCUUUUGUUUUUGUUUGUUUGUUUUUUCCAAACAAAUACAAUUUAAGGGCCUCCAUGGGAGUCAUUUGGGAACUUAAAUGCAGAAUGGUUUAGCGUUGGAUUUUUUCUUUGUUUUUGGAGUUAGCUUCAGCCUGCUGUUUUAUGACCAUGUGUGUGUUCACUCUCUUUAGUGUGGCAUUUAUGGAUAACAUGAAAUUGGCCAACUUGGCAAAAGUUAACAAGAUACAUAAUUUUUUAUUUGUUCUUUGUGUGGGGCAGCCCAGCAAUAGGCAUACUGAAAAAUUGAAAUAAUAGUUGAUGUAUAGUGAUUUUGAUCACUAGAGCAGCUAUUGUGUUCUGAACAAACCCCCCAUACACUGUGAAACAUUAAAAGGGAGGAAGCAAUACUUGCGAUAUUUAGUAAUAUUUAGAUUUUUCCUUUUUUUUUUUUUUUUUUUGAGAUACAGUCUCGCCCUGUUGCUCAGGCUGGAGUGCAAUGGCGCGAUCUCGGCUCCACCUCCUGGGUUCAAGUGAUUCUCCUGCCUCAGCCUCCUGAGUAUCUGAGAUUACAGAUGCACGCCACCACACCUGUGUGAUUUUUUGUAUCUUUAGUAGAGACGGGCUUUCACCAUGUUGGCCAGGCUCGUCUCAAACUCCUGACCUUGUGAUCCACUGGCCUCAGCCUCCCAAAGUGCUAGGAUUAUAGGCGUGAUUCUCAAAUGUUCUUCUUUUUUUUUUUUUUUGAGAUGGAGUCUCACUCUGUUGCCCAGGCUAGAGUGCAUUGGUGGGAUCUUAGCUCACUGCAAACUCUGCCUCCCAGAUUCAAGUGAUUCUCUCAUGCCUCAGCCUUCCAAAUAGCUGGGAUUACAGGCAUGGGCCACCAUGCCAGACUAAUUGUUGAAGUUUCUCUAUUUUGGCCAAACUGGUCUGGAACUCCUGGCCUCAAGUGAUCUCCCCGCCUCGGCCUCCCAAAGUGCUGGGAUUAUAGGUGUGAGCCACUGCUCUGGGCCAGAAGUUCUCUUUAUAAUCAGGAAUAGAACAAGCCUUCUGGCUACUUGCUUUUCUAUUAUACAUUUAAUUUAUCAAGUCCUAGCCCCCCCUCCACCCGCA